rnacentral:rRNA from 1 species
GACGAACGCUGGCGGCGUGCUUAACACAUGCAAGUCGAACGGAAAGGCCCUGCUUUUGUGGGGUGCUCGAGUGGCGAACGGGUGAGUAACACGUGAGUAACCUGCCCUUGACUUUGGGAUAACUUCAGGAAACUGUGGCUAAUACCGGAUAGGAGCUCCUGCGGCAUGGUGGGGGUUGGAUAGUUUCGGCGGUUGGGGAUGGACUCGCGGCUUAUCAGCUUGUUGGUGGGGUAGUGGCUUACCAAGGCUUUGACGGGUAGCCGGCCUGAGAGGGUGACCGGCCACAUUGGGACUGAGAUACGGCCAAGACUCCUACGGGAGGCAGCAGUGGGGAAUAUUGCAAAAUGGGCGGAAGCCUGAUGCAGCAACGCCGCGUGCGGGAUGACGGCCUUCGGGUUGUAAACCGCUUUCGCCUGUGACGAAGCGUGAGUGACGGUAAUGGGUAAAGAAGCACCGGCUAACUACGUG